rnacentral:lncRNA from 1 species
CCAAAACUAGAAGUUUUGCAGAGCUAAGUAGCAAAAUGUAUUCCUGUGAAUUUUGGCUUAUUCACCAAUGAGAAUGGGAUUGUCUGUCAUGCUGUAUGUUGGUUUUACAAUACUGAUGUAAAAGAUUAUAGAACCGUCCAUAUAUAGAACUUACCCACCCACUAAUAUGAAUGGGAAAGGUUAAAGUUAACUUGAUUCAGGUUUAUGUGAAAUUGUUUAAUUCAGUGGUGUUAUCGACUAUGACAUAUGGUUCACCACUUUGGGCUUCAACUUUUUCAGAAGACCUCAAGUCUGUUUUCAUAUGUUAUAUAAGAAGAAUUUUCAGUGUUUACUACAAGAUUCUGGGAUUUCUAAUGAGAUUGGAGUUGAGAAUUUCUUGUAUUUCUGUGAUACUUGUUAAGCAAUUAUUGUUAUAUUGGAUUAGGGUGUUAUUUAUGGAUAAUACUGUUCAUGCUAAGAUAGCUUAUUUGUGAUUGUGUUCUUUUGGCAUCGCAAAAUGGCAAUUGACUUUGGCUUUUCAGAGCAUUCUUAAUGAUCUCAGUUUUAGUUUUUGAUGGGAUUUGCAGGAUCCAGUAUUGACUGAAAGUUUCUUGUCAAGGAUAUUACAGGUGAAGCUGGAUCAAUGUAUCCAAAAAGAUUGUGUGGCUUUGAGAGCUAAUCGUUAUUUUAAUUUAUAUAGUAUGGUUAAACUGGAUGUUUGUACAGAACCUUAUCUUAUGUUACAUUUUUUUAUAGAGAAUGUUAUUUCAGUUACAUUGUGACCAAAAUUAUUUGUGUGUAUAUAAAUAUAAAACUUCACUUGUAAUUCACU